rnacentral:lncRNA from 1 species
ACGUUGCUCCUCGAGGAUGAUGCACUUGAAACCCUCUUUGGUGAGUUCCUGGUCUCCUCCCUCUCUCUCGCUUGUGUCCUGAGAUUGUCCUGCUCGAUAGCCAUGGUUGGCACUAGUGCGAAUCAUCGACCGAAUGAUUGAGGCCUUGGUUAUGUAUGUGGCCAUGCUUCCUUACUAUGCUGGUGGUCCUCCGGCCACCACAAGUGUUUUGUGUUGAUGAUUGGUUUGACGUUUUUUUAGCUGGGGCUAGUUUCAUGUUGUGCACUUGGCCAUCAUCUUCAUAGUUCUUACUGUAGUGUAGCUAUUUUUGGUGUUUUAUCAUGCCAUUGUCCUAAUCUGCUUGUGGAUGAGAUGCUGGCCAUUGAGUUGAUUUGUCAUAUCAUGGUUCGAAUUGCAAAUAGAACUUGCUACUGUGGAAGUUUACGCGGUUUAGAGAUUGGCCUGGUUUAGUUAAUUGCUAUGGAGUAAUUUUGAUAAGAACUAGAGUAAUUUACUUGUUGUGGGUAUAUAGCUUGUUUACUUUCAGAUGAUGUUACUUUCUGGGUCUAUUUUCCUGAAUUGGCAUGGUAUAAUAACUACAUGUUGAUGGUUAUGCUACUCCUUGGCCAUGCUCUUGUUUGAUAGGCCUGGAAAAAGAGAUAGAUAUUCUCUACUAGAUGUUUUACCAAGUGUUAGUGGUUUGUGCUGCUGAUAAGAAGUGUGGCAUACUUGAGCUAAUCCUGUGUGCAGCUAAUCCCAACAUGGUUUGACUAAGCAGCUUGUUUACUAGAUUUUUUAUUUGCUAAAAAAUUGAGACUCUUGUUGUGCAUUAGAUGCCCGAGUUUGGUGCCAUGGAGAUCGACGAUGAAGAUGUCAUUGCCCACAAAAGUGUCAAGGCAUUGAAGAGAGAAGACAUGUCCCCUGAGAGCCGAGAUGUGGAAAGCAUUAGGUAAAGUGGCAAGAGGAGCCGGAUGUGCAGCUUGUGCUUUUCUUUGUUGGCUGGUGGUUGCUGCUGAAGUGCAGAUUGAUGAUGCCUGGUGAUAUUGAAGUCCUAGUAGAUAGAUAUGCCCUAUGAUAAUUGUUUUCUUGUUGGUGGCUUACUUGUCGGCUGGUAGGUAUUGAGUCGAUGAAGUACCUUGUCGAAUUCUCAGCUCUUGUUGAUGUUCUCUUUUCUCGAUGGAGAGAGAGAGUGAUAUAUGAAGUGUAAAUUUCUGCAUAUUUUUUUCCACGAGUCUCUCCGAAAUGAAACCGGGAAUUGUGUGCCAUGCCAAUCUAUCUAUCUCUCUGUCUGUGAGUUGCCGAGAAGUUUCAAGCUGAGUGAUUUACAUAAUGGUAGUUUGUGCAAGCAUGCAUUUUAUGAUUGUUG